rnacentral:lncRNA from 1 species
CCGAGGCGCUGCGCCCCGUGGCUCUGCAGCUGGAGGCGCGGGGCUGGCUGCUCACCCCUGCCCAGCGCUGCCCGCUCGUCCGUGCCGCCUUCCUCCAGGUCCUCACCCUCCUCCCUGCAUCCUUCAGCCCUGGCUUCGCCCAGCACAUCUGUGAUUCCAUCAGCACUGAGCUGGGCAGCCUCCUGCCAAGGGGAAAGCCAGGCCGUGCCGAGCCACAGGUUGGCUUGGCCGUUCUCCACCAAACCAUGGCCCACUUCAUGUGCAGCGAGGCAGCUCAGCUGGCAGACAGUGAGCGGAUUGCUGCUGUCUGCUCCCUUGUCCAGCAGCCCAAUCCCGAUGUCCAGCUUGCCAUCCUGAGCUGGGUGGUCGCCAGGGAGGGAGGAACAUGCAAGGAGCUGGAGAAGGCUCUCAGGCUGACACUGCUGGAGAGCUUGCGGUCGGUGCUGCGAGAGAGAAGGGACAAAGAGUUCCUGAGAUUGUACCUUGAGGCUUUGCUGCAUCUUUACAGAGAUCCCUCAUCAUGGUCUCAGGAAGCUUCCCACAGACUCCAGGGCUCCUGGGCAGCAUGCCUGGAGAUGCUUCUGCACAUGGUGGAGGCUGAGCGUCCUGGCCCCGACCUCCUCUUCCAGGCGCUGUGUGCUGCCAGCCUGCUGCUCGCCCACUGGUUCGGGGACGAGGACGGCCGGCUGGUGGAGCGCUGGUGCGCGGCGCUGGAGGACUGCUGCCGGCCUGCUUCGUGCGAGGUGCUGCGGCUGGCGGCCGCCCGCUCCCU